rnacentral:rRNA from 1 species
UACGUAGGGUCCGAGCGUUGUCCGGAAUUAUUGGGCGUAAAGGGCUCGUAGGCGGUUUGUCACGUCGGGAGUGAAAACUCGGGGCUUAACCCCGAGCCUGCUUCCGAUACGGGCAGACUAGAGGUAUGCAGGGGAGAGCGGAAUUCCUGGUGUAGCGGUGAAAUGCGCAGAUAUCAGGAGGAACACCGGUGGCGAAGGCGGUUCUCUGGGCAUUACCUGACGCUGAGGAGCGAAAGUGUGGGGAGCGAACAGG